rnacentral:rRNA from 1 species
GAUGAACGCUGGCGGCGUGCCUAAUACAUGCAAGUCGAGCGAACGGACGAGAAGCUUGCUUCUCUGAUGUUAGCGGCGGACGGGUGAGUAACACGUGGAUAACCUACCUAUAAGACUGGGAUAACUUCGGGAAACCGGAGCUAAUACCGGAUAAUAUUUUGAACCGCAUGGUUCAAAAGUAAAAGACGGUCUUGCUGUCACUUAUAGAUGGAUCCGCGCUGCAUUAGCCAGUUGGUAAGGUAACGGCUUGCCAAGGCAACGAUGCAUAGCCGACCUGAGAGGGUGAUCGGCCACACUGGAACUGAGACACGGUCCAGACUCCUACGGGAGGCAGCAGUAGGGAAUCUUCCGCAAUGGGCGAAAGCCUGACGGAGCAACGCCGCGUGAGUGAUGAAGGUCUUCGGAUCGUAAAACUCUGUUAUUAGGGAAGAACAUAUGUGUAAGUAACUGUGCACAUCUUGACGGUACCUAAUCAGAAAGCCACGGCUAACUACGUGCCAGCAGCCGCGGUAAUACGUAGGUGGCAAGCGUUAUCCGGAAUUAUUGGGCGUAAAGCGCGCGUAGGCGGUUUUUUAAGUCUGAUGUGAAAGCCCACGGCUCAACCGUGGAGGGUCAUUGGAAACUGGAAAACUUGAGUGCAGAAGAGGAAAGUGGAAUUCCAUGUGUAGCGGUGAAAUGCGCAGAGAUAUGGAGGAACACCAGUGGCGAAGGCGACUUUCUGGUCUGUAACUGACGCUGAUGUGCGAAAGCGUGGGGAUCAAACAGGAUUAGAUACCCUGGUAGUCCACGCCGUAAACGAUGAGUGCUAAGUGUUAGGGGGUUUCCGCCCCUUAGUGCUGCAGCUAACGCAUUAAGCACUCCGCCUGGGGAGUACGACCGCAAGGUUGAAACUCAAAGGAAUUGACGGGGACCCGCACAAGCGGUGGAGCAUGUGGUUUAAUUCGAAGCAACGCGAAGAACCUUACCAAAUCUUGACAUCCUUUGACAACUCUAGAGAUAGAGCCUUCCCCUUCGGGGGACAAAGUGACAGGUGGUGCAUGGUUGUCGUCAGCUCGUGUCGUGAGAUGUUGGGUUAAGUCCCGCAACGAGCGCAACCCUUAAGCUUAGUUGCCAUCAUUAAGUUGGGCACUCUAAGUUGACUGCCGGUGACAAACCGGAGGAAGGUGGGGAUGACGUCAAAUCAUCAUGCCCCUUAUGAUUUGGGCUACACACGUGCUACAAUGGACAAUACAAAGGGCAGCGAAACCGCGAGGUCAAGCAAAUCCCAUAAAGUUGUUCUCAGUUCGGAUUGUAGUCUGCAACUCGACUACAUGAAGCUGGAAUCGCUAGUAAUCGUAGAUCAGCAUGCUACGGUGAAUACGUUCCCGGGUCU